AUUGAACGCUGGCGGCAUGCCUUACACAUGCAAGUCGAACGGUAACAGGUCUUCGGACGCUGACGAGUGGCGAACGGGUGAGUAAUACAUCGGAACGUGCCCAGUCGUGGGGGAUAACUACUCGAAAGAGUAGCUAAUACCGCAUACGAUCUGAGGAUGAAAGCGGGGGACCUUCGGGCCUCGCGCGAUUGGAGCGGCCGAUGGCAGAUUAGGUAGUUGGUGGGAUAAAAGCUUACCAAGCCGACGAUCUGUAGCUGGUCUGAGAGGACGACCAGCCACACUGGGACUGAGACACGGCCCAGACUCCUACGGGAGGCAGCAGUGGGGAAUUUUGGACAAUGGGCGAAAGCCUGAUCCAGCAAUGCCGCGUGCAGGAUGAAGGCCUUCGGGUUGUAAACUGCUUUUGUACGGAACGAAAAAGCUUCUCCUAAUACGAGAGGCCCAUGGCGGUACCUGAAGAAUAAGCACCGGCUAACUACGUGCCAGCCGCCGCUGUAACAC
rnacentral:rRNA from 1 species